rnacentral:lncRNA from 1 species
AAAUGUAUUAAAGUCUGCCCCUCCUUCUAGGUUGAACCAUAUUCUAGCUUAUUACUCUAUUCUGGUAUUUAGAACAUAGAAAGUAUUCAAAAUAUGUUUAUUAUGUAAAUGAAUUUAUUUUCACUGUUUUAUGUUUGUAGAUGAAGAACCUGUGUCAUGUUAAGUGGCCAAAGUCAUACGUCGAAUUCUGCAAGUACCAGAUUUAGGCAGGCACCCUUGCAGAAGGUUCCUGGAAUGAAUGAUACCCAUUUUCCUGUGAUCUUUGCAGAAAAGAAGAUGACCAAAUCUGUAACCACAUUUUGAAAACCAGGAAGUGGGACAUGACUUCUGGCUUUGGCCUUGAGAACAUCUGGGGAGGGAUCAAAGAUUCUGUUCUAAGUGAAGAGGAAGAGCAGCAUUUUGCUCACAUUAGGGUGUCAGCAGUAGAAGAUUUUUGACCCUCUUACAAAAGUGACAAAUCUGCUCAUUGUUUGCAUGUUGCCUCUUCUUGUAACUUUUGAUACCCAUAAAAUUAGAACCAAAUGUUCUGCUUUUACAAACAAUUGUACACUGGGUUAAAAAGGGACACAACCAAACAAUUUGUGUUCAAUUGUUAUUUAUAACUCACAACUUGCUUUAUUUUUGGCAAAUAAAAGCUGC